UGCCAGCAGCCGCGGUAAUACGGAGGGGGUUAGCGUUGUUCGGAAUUACUGGGCGUAAGGCGUACGUAGGCGGACCAUUAAGUAAGGGGUGAAAUCCCAGGGCUCAACCCUGGAACUGCCUCUUAAACUGCUGGUCUUGAGUUCGAGAGAGGUGAGUGGAAUUCCGAGUGUAGGGGUGAAAUUCGUAGAUAUUCGGAGGAACACCAGUGGCGAAGGCGGCUCACUGGCUCGAUACUGACGCUGAGGUGCGAAAGUGUGGGGAGCAAACAGGAUUAGAUA
rnacentral:rRNA from 1 species